AAGGAUGUAGCGCAGCUUGGUAGCGUGUUUUUUUUGGAUACAAAAUGUCACGGGUUCAAAUCCUGUCAUCCCUA
rnacentral:tRNA from 1 species